AAGACUAUACUUUCAGGGAUCAUUUCUAUAGUUCGUUCCUAGGGAAGUUUCUCCGAACAUGUAGAGUCCCAGAAACCAUGAGGGGGUGGCGUGGCAUUCUCUCCGAGCCUGAGGCCACCUCUUGGCAUUGCUUUGCUGUGAUUGCCAUUGGCCAUUGAUGAUCGUUCUUCUCCUCCUCUGAGAGAGUGGAGGGAGAAGAUGCAGUCUGAGUGAGU
rnacentral:snoRNA from 1 species